GACACACAGAGCAACUCCAGCACGAAAACAAAACCCUGCAUUAAAAAACAACUGUAAACAGCGACGGUGUGCAUUGCUCUUCACGAAACUCUCCGUUCUUCAUAAUUUUAAUAUGACAGCCAGACCUGUACCGUGGGUGAAUGAAGAGGUCAAGACUUUGUCUUUGAUGGCGGACCAAAGAAUACAGAGGGAGCUGGACAUAGAAAGUUUAUCAGGAGGUCUCUGAGCGGAUGGCCGCUCACAUAUACAGUAGACUGUAUAUAAAGAGGACAGAAGCAGUGUAGGGAGAAGUUGAAAAAGCUCAAAAGUGACUAUCGGUCCACCAAGGACCACAGCGGCCGGCGUGGGUCAACCAGGAGGUGUUGGAAGAGGUUUAAUGGAAGCUAUUUACUGGCACCGCGCUGCCAGCAACAGGAGGAAGACUCAGCCGCUGCAUGUUGGAGACGUUCGAGGACGAAUCCCUUUCCACAUGCGAAGCCUACUCCACCUCCGUCAUGGAGCCCCCAGCUCCCCUGCCUCCUCUCCACCACCAGCAGCGGCUCCUCUCCAGCACCAGCUUCGACACCAGUACCAGCUCGGACACCGACCCUGUUAACAUCAACCUCCAGCACGUCACAGCAACGUCUUAUCACCGGCAAGAGGAAAAGGUGCAACAGAAAAUUGGACCUUCCUAGCGUACUUGUGGAGAUGCAGGCCGAGGAGGAGCGGAGUCGUGCCCAGCAUGAUGAGAACAUCUGGUUGCUCCUCAGCGAGGUAAGAGAGAAUGAAGCAGCCUUGCAGCGGG
ensembl:lncRNA